rnacentral:rRNA from 1 species
UACGGGGGGGGCAAGCGUUGUUCGGAAUUACUGGGCGUAAAGGGCUCGUAGGCGGCCAACUAAGUCGGACGUGAAAUCCCCAGGCUCAACCUGGGAACUGCGUCCGAUACUGGAUGGCUUGAAUCCGGGAGAGGGAUGCAGAAUUCCAGGUGUAGCGGUGAAAUGCGUAGAUAUCUGGAGGAAUACCGGUGGCGAAGGCGGCAUCCUGGACCGGCAUUGACGCUGAGGAGCGAAAGCUAGGGGAGCCAACGGG